AAAUUUUAUUAUAUAUUUAUUAAUAUAUUUUAAUUAAUUAUUUAUAUAUAUAAGAAAUAUUACGAAUUAAUGCGAAGUUGAAAUACAGUUACCGUAGGGGAACCUGCGGUGGGCCUUAUUAUUUUCUUGAAUAUUCCUUUA
rnacentral:rRNA from 1 species